rnacentral:rRNA from 1 species
AACGAACGCUGGCGGCAUGCCUAACACAUGCAAGUCGAACGAGACCUUCGGGUCUAGUGGCGCAUGGGUGCGUAACGCGUGGGAACCUGCCCUUAGGUUCGGAAUAACUCCCCGAAAGGGGUGCUAAUACCGGAUAAUGUCUUCGGACCAAAGAUUUAUCGCCUUUGGAUGGGCCCGCGUUGGAUUAGCUAGUUGGUAGGGUAAAAGCCUACCAAGGCGACGAUCCAUAGCUGGUCUGAGAGGAUGAUCAGCCACACUGGGACUGAGACGCGGCCCAGACUCCUACGGGAGGGAGCAGUGGGGGAUAUUGGACAAUGGGCGGAGGCCUGAUGCAGCAAUGCCGCGUGAGUGAUGAAGGCCUUGAGGUUGUAAAGCUCUUUUACCCGGGAUGAUAAUGACAGUACCGAAAGAAUAAGCACCGGCUAACUCCGUG